GUUGGGUGCAAUGAUGUAUGCCUGUAAUCCUAGUUACUUGGGAGGCUGAAACAGGAGGAUUUUGAGUUUGAGGCCAGUCUGAGCAACAUGGUGAGAUCCUGUCUCAA
rnacentral:sRNA from 1 species